UGGGAAAGAGUCAGUAGUAAUGCCAUUUUCUUCAC
rnacentral:tRNA from 1 species